ACCCCACACACCCACAUGAGCCGCCAGGGCACUGUCUGGACUCCCCCAGGCCCUCUGGGACAGAAAGCAACCAGAAGAAAAGGGAACUUCAGGAAGCAGCCGGGCCACCCGGUUUCAAUCCCAUUCUUAGUGUGCAGGGCUGUGGGCAGGGGGGUCGUGCCUCCAGGGACCAGACACCCACCCGAGGAAGCAGGGCUGCAGGCACAGAGCACAGACACAAGGAGCCACUUGCACCUGGGGCCAGAGCAGGAGGGGCCCGGAGCCCGGGGCAGCAGGGGAGCCACCUCCUCGGCCCCCACACUCGCCCCCAAGACGGCCCCAUCGGUCUACCCUCUGGCCCCCUGCGGCAGGGACACGUCUGGCCCUAACGUGGCCUUGGGCUGCCUGGCCUCAAGCUACUUCCCCGAGCCAGUGACCGUGACCUGGAACUCGGGCGCCCUGACCAGUGGCGUGCACACCUUCCCAUCCGUCCUGCAGCCGUCAGGGCUCUACUCCCUCAGCAGCAUGGUGACCGUGCCGGCCAGCAGCCUGUCCAGCAAGAGCUACACGUGCAAUGUCAACCACCCGGCCACCAGCACCAAGGUGGACAAGCGUGUUGGAACAAAGACCAAGCCACCAUGUCCCAUAUGCCCAGCCUGUGAAGUGGCCGGGCCCUCGGUCUUCAUCUUCCCUCCAAAACCCAAGGACACCCUCAUGAUCUCCCAGACCCCCGAGGUCACGUGCGUGGUGGUGGACGUCAGCAAGGAGCACGCCGAGGUCCAGUUCUCCUGGUACGUGGGCGGCGUAGAGGUGCACACGGCCGAGACGAGGCCAAAGGAGGAGCAGUUCAACAGCACCUACCGCGUGGUCAGCGUCCUGCCCAUUCAGCACCAGGACUGGCUGAAGGGGAAAGAGUUCAAGUGCAAGGUCAACAACGUAGACCUCCCAGCCCCCAUCACGAGGACCAUCUCCAAGGCUAUAGGGCAGAGCCGGGACCCGCAGGUGUACACCCUGCCCCCAGCCCCCGAGGAGCUGACCAGGAGCAAAGUCAGCGUAACCUGCCUGGUCAUUGGCUUCUACCCACCUGACAUCCAUGUUGAGUGGAAGAUCAACGGACAGCCGGAGCCAGAGAACACAUACCGCACCACCCCGCCCCAGCUGGACGAGAACGGGACCUUCUUCCUGUACAGCAAGCUCACGGUGGACAAGGCCAGCUGGCAGCGUGGAGACGAAUUCAAGUGUGCAGUGAUGCACGAGGCUCUGCACAACCACUACACCGAGAAGUCCGUCUCCCAGACUCCGGAACUGCUCCUGGAGGAGAGCUGUGCCGACGCCCAGGACGGGGAGCUGGACGGGCUCUGGACCACCAUCUCCAUCUUCAUCACGCUCUUCCUGCUCAGCGUGUGCUACAGCGCCACCGUGACGCUCUUCAAGGUGAAGUGGAUCUUCUCGUCGGUGGUGGAGCUGAAGCGCACCAUUGUCCCCGACUACAGAAACAUGAUCGGGCAGGGGGCCUAGGGCGCCCUCCAGGGCGGCCAGGGCCGCCCCACACCCGACAGGACCGCGUCCGUCAGCUCAAGCUGCUCCGCCUGCGCCAGGCCUGCCUCCGCCCUCUGACCUCGCCCGCACCUCUGGCUCUCGGCCACCUGGCCCGCACCUCCGCCCUCGGGCCUGGCGGCCCCCUCAGAAGGCGCCCCGCACCCCCACCGCCCCUCGGAAGCCCGAGUGGGCAGCAGCUCGGGCCCCGACCUGACUUGAUGGACACCCACCACCACCAGCCCCCGCCAGAGCCACGGGACACCGCCAGGGCCACAUGUCCUCACCAGGAACGCCCGGCUCAGCGAGCGGGUCCAGCCGGCCACGAGGAGACCGGCGUCCAGCGGCUGACGGGACAGGGCCCGGGCUCCCUGUGGACCCCGUCCAGACCGGGCUCCAGAGGCAGGGCCCCCGAGAGGAGGCUCCUGUGUCACAGCCUGGAGUGGGAACAGCUGCCCCCAACGCCAGCGUCUCCCAGCGGGGAAGUUCCCAGACGGGCCACCAACAGGCGCUCAGGUCACCUCCAGCCCAGGGCACUCGAGGGAAGAGGACCUGGGCCCGAGGCCACGGCAGGAGCCCCGGUGGGGACAGAGCAGCCCUGCCCAGGGAAGCGGUGAGGUGCCGCCAGACUGGCCUCCUGGAGGGGGUCCCGCUGGCUCGGACCCCCGCGGGCAGGACGGGCCUUCGCUGGACACAGGCAGGGGUGGCGGGUCCGCACAGGGUACAGGGCAGCCAGCCCAUCCCAAGGUACGAGGCCUGAGACCCGUCCAUCCGCCCAUCCAUCCAUCCUUCCAUCCAGCAGGAGCUCCUUCUGCCUGCCCCGGGGCCUGGGUGAGAGGUGAAGAACCCCCAGGAGCGAGCCCCAGGCCCCGGACCCCCCCAAGCCGGCCCCGCACUGACUCUCCUGCCCUGUCUCUACGGGAACCCCAAGUGGGUUCAUGGCAUCCGGGGAGCAGCCUCGGGACUGGGAGGGAAGGCUCAUCCGCCAAGCUGUGGUCGCUCUUUCUCCUUGGUGAGUGUCUGGAGCCCAGGCACUCUCCUCACUGUUGCUCUCAUUUUUCACGGCAAUAAACCACUUUUACAACCCCUCA